UUUUGAACAUAAUAAUAAUACAUUAAAUCUAAGUAUUUACUUUAAAAUGGUUUUUAAAUUAAUUUUAUUAAUAACGUGCAUUUCAAUUGGCAAUUGCGUAGAGUUAGAUGAGACAGAUCAACUUCAGAGGCCGUUCAGGCCCACUGCUGCAACACACACUUCCUUCCAUCUUUCUAUAUCCGUUGCAACCUCCCUGUAGUUUCCAACUCCUAGCGUUGUUAGAUCCUUUGAGACUUUAUCAAACCAUCGUUGUUUAAGUCUGCCUAAGGGCCUCUUUCCUCGUGGCUUCCAACAAUUGAUCACCCUGUAUGUUGAUAAAUUAGUUUAAAUUUAAGCACAGAAAACUAUUUAUAAUUAUUAUUUUUUAUUGAAAAUGUACAGCAAAAGCUUGGAAUUGAUUAUGUAAUAAAAUUUUAUAAAAUUAUAGUAUUCAAAAUUACAAAUUUUCGUUAAAAACAACAAAUAGUUUUUACUAUCCUACUAAAAGAGGUUUUUAGGCAACUAUUUCGCAUUUAAGUGUUGACAGUAUAGUUUUUCUCAUAUCAUAAUAAAAACUAAACCAAAAGACAAAAUUAAAAUUAAAAAUAUAGACACGUGCCAGCGAUUUGUCAUGCCGGCAAAAUCUGAGUAAGAUAAUAAAUCAAAUGAUUUAUUACUAUAAAUGUUUUUUUUCUUAUAACAAAAUAAAAUCAUGAACGUGGAAUUAAAAACUAAAAUUGUAUGACAUAUUCUAAAAAGUAUUAAUAUAUAAUUACAAAAUUGAAAAAUGUUGACAAAAUAAGAUUUAGUUACUGUUGUGAAUAGUAAAACAUUAGUGCACUUGAAGAACAGUGAUGUUGUACCUACAAAGACGUCAUCAUUACAACAACGAUAACGUAUCGAAAUAUUUUUCGAUUAUUUACUAUUUACUUAAAAUACAACAGAGCUAAGAGAUUCGUUUUAACUUACAAUUCGUUUUUACUUUAAAAUGAUUUUUAAAAUCAUUAUAUUAUUAACAUGUAUUUCCAUUGGAAAUUGUAUGGACCUGGAUGAGACAGAUCAAGCUAUACGAAAAGCUUUCAAGUUUGCCAUGAAAUUUAAUAAACACGAUAAGAAAGAUCAUGGUCUUCUUAUGGAAGAGUUAUUAAUGUGUGUCGGUAAUCAUAAUGAAGAUAUUGUAGACCGAUUCUUCAAAGAUAAUUAUCUACGAUUAAGAAAACAUACAAUAUAACAGAAGAAAUAUUUAGUGACGUUUUGAAAAAAAUUUGUCACAUAAAACAAUAUAAUCCAAUAGCAUUUGCCGAAAUUAUAGAAGAUUUUUUAGAUAGUCAAAAAUAAAUGAUACAUUGUGUAACGUAAUUUAAUCAUUAGCAUUCAAAUGGUGACAGAAUUUAGAACCGUUUAUAAGUUAAGUUUAUUUGUUUAAUUAUACAAGCGUUAUAUUGUUUUCAUAUAUCAAUAAUAUAUUAAAUGAAAUGUAUUUAGUCUAAAAUUAUUCUAUUUUUGUAACAGAAAACAUAAUAUAUGAAAUAGAUAGGAAAAUAUAAUAAAAUGGAUUCAACAUGUACAACUUUUGAGUUUUUAAAUUAUUUAAAAUACAAGCUCCACAGCAAUUCAAUAUGUUUCUAGUUCAGCCCCUUAGUAACAUUAGAAAAUUGUAUAUUAGUAGAACAGAUUUAUAAAGGCUAAAAUAAAACAUUCAAAUCAGAAAUUAAUUCUUUGGAUAAUAUAAAAAAAGAUAAAUAGU